AACAGUUGCUCACUCCGGCUCAGAAUGGCGGAUUCCGGUGAUUGACACCUGGAACCGUCAGGACCAAUAGAAUCAAACCUAGGUUAUCAUUUUGCGGUCAGAGAAGCCAUCAGCGAAUCAAAGGAUGUACCACCCACGUGAUGACGAUCGACAGCGUCUUACGUACUCGGCUGCGCAUGCGUCACUCAAAUCCAACUUGGAGUCUGAAGAAGCGGCAAAAGAAGUGGGAGACAUAUUGGACUUAAUUGAAGAACGAGAGCGACGGAUACAGGCACAUUACAAUGGUUUAUGCAAAGGCUGUUUGGCUUGAGGGUCACAAACAGUUUGAGGGUGUUACCCCAAAAAACUGGAUAUAGGAAGAAGGAAAUGUUGUGCGAUGGCCAAAGAAAAGUGUGCAUUCAGCCCAUAAAAAAAGGACCCAGACGAUGACUGGAACACGUUCCCACUUGUGAAAAUAAAGACAAUAUCAGACAAUGAGAAAGAUUGUGAAGACUAUAACUACACUUCAUCAGCCCAAACUGACCAUGAGGGUUCCACCAUCGUGCCAGAAGAAAUCAGGAAGAGACAUGUAAAGAAGAGGGCAUAUGAUUUUGUUGAUGAUAAGGAUACAGGUUUGCAUGCAUAUCCAAAGCCUCCUGAAAUCCAGAAGAACGAAUUUGCUUCUGCUACCAUCGAUCAAACCACUCCUAAGGAAUCCACCAUGGAUAAUGACGUGUGUACUUGGACUAGACGGCUGCCAAAUUCAUCCAGAGGAUGCUGAAAGUGAACAUGACAGCAGACAUGUUACAGCAUUUUCCUGUCUUCCUGUUCCACACAUGCCAUCUUGGUGUUACAGGGUUGUCAAGGUCAAGGGAGCGUUCCAACUGAUCCCCCCGAUCACCAAUCAAGUCAUGGAAGUGAUGGAGGAUAUUCCACUUCUUGUUCUCAGUCAUCAGUGGGCUCAACUCCCAGACGCUCUUCUUCCAGAUAUGGGCAGUCCUGCUCUAGAAGGGAGCGUCCCAACUCUUCCAGUCACCGAUCAAGCCAUCAAAGUCCUACACCUUCCACUCUAGGACACUCAACAUCCAGACAUGGCUGAUGACAAACUCCCUGAUGUCUUCAUUCAAUAUGUAGGGCCACGGUUCCAAAAGGGCAUUCCAACCGACAGAACUUUACGCCAUUGUGACAGCUGCUGUCAAAAGGUGGGACAGCAAAGCCACAGACCAUGAAAUUUCACGUACUAUGGCAGACCAUUUCAAACAUGGUCCUGGGCGGUCUGGUGGUGGAGGCUAUCUUAAAAAAUAAAACAGAGCAGCAUUGACGAGGAAACAUCAGGGAGGAACUUCGGUUGUUUGAGUUCAUCGGUCCACACUAGUUUUGGCCCUGAUCAGUUGUGAUAUGAGAUGGAAAGAUUUCACUUCAUGUACAGUAUUAUCUACAGUCAUGACUGUAUUGAAGUCUAUUUUUUUGUUUUACAUCCUUUAUAUCAUGUUCUUCUGGAUAUAAGAUUAUUUUGUUGUUGUCCAUGUGAGAACAGUAAAUGUUUUAUUGAUACAUUUUUUUGUUAAAUUGUCUUGUUUUUUUUAAAGGGUUAAAAUUCUGUUCUAAAUUUGUGAUUAUUUAUAAUUAAUUCACGUUUAAUUUAGACACCAAAGCAAUGUCUUCAUGGAGACGUCUUUUCCAAAAACCUGAAAAAGACGACUUUUCACCAUUCGCUUUUCAACCAAAUUUGAACCGCAAAGGGACGUCUUCAUGGAGAGACGUCUUUUCAACGACCUGAAAAAGACGGCUUUUCACCAUUCACUUUUCAACCAAAUUUGGACCGCAAAGGGACGUCUUCAUGGAGCUGUCUUUUCAACAUCCUGAAAAAGACGACU